rnacentral:rRNA from 1 species
CCUACGGGAGGCAGCAGUGAGGAAUAUUGGUCAAUGGACGGAAGUCUGAACCAGCCAAGCCGCGUGCAGGAAGACGGCUCUAUGAGUUGUAAACUGCUUUUGUACAGGGGUAAACCUGAAUACGUGUAUUCAGCUGAAAGUACUGUACGAAUAAGGAUCGGCUCACUCCGUGCCAGCAGCCGCGGUAAUACGGAGGAUCCAAGCGUUACCCGGAUUUCUUGGGUUGAAAGGGUGCGGAGGCGGGUUGUUAAGUUGGAGGGGAAAUGGACGGGCUUAACUCGGGAACGGCCUCUGAUACUGUUGAUCUAGAGUGUAGAUGAGGUAGGCGGAAUGCAUGGUGUAGCGGUGAAAUGCUUAGAGAUCAUGCAGAACACCGAUUGCGAAGGCAGCUUACCAAUCUAUAUCUGACGUUGAGGCACGAAAGCGUGGGGAGCAAACAGGAUUAGAUACCCGAGUAGUC